rnacentral:rRNA from 1 species
UGCCUAAUACAUGCAAGUCGAGCGAAUGGAUUAAGAGCUUGCUCUUAUGAAGUUAGCGGCGGACGGGUGAGUAACACGUGGGUAACCUGCCCAUAAGACUGGGAUAACUCCGGGAAACCGGGGCUAAUACCGGAUAAUAUUUUGAACCGCAUGGUUCGAAAUUGAAAGGCGGCUUCGGCUGUCACUUAUGGAUGGACCCGCGUCGCAUUAGCUAGUUGGUGAGGUAACGGCUCACCAAGGCAACGAUGCGUAGCCGACCUGAGAGGGUGAUCGGCCACACUGGGACUGAGACACGGCCCAGACUCCUACGGGAGGCAGCAGUAGGGAAUCUUCCGCAAUGGACGAAAGUCUGACGGAGCAACGCCGCGUGAGUGAUGAAGGCUUUCGGGUCGUAAAACUCUGUUGUUAGGGAAGAACAAGUGCUAGUUGAAUAAGCUGGCACCUUGACNGUACCUAACCAGAAAGCCACGGCUAACUACGUGCCAGCAGCCGCGGUAAUACGUAGGUGGC